CUUUUAAAGGAUCAAAGUCUAAUCCGUUGGUCUUAGGAACCAAAA
rnacentral:tRNA from 1 species